rnacentral:rRNA from 1 species
GAGGAAUAUUGCGCAAUGGGGGAAACCCUGACGCAGCGACGCCGCGUGGAUGAUGAAGGCCUUUGGGUCGUAAAAUCCUGUCAGAUGGAAAGAAAUGCUACUGGUUUAAUAUGCC